CAUACCAAACAAAAUCAACAGUUGGAUUUAUGACCCUUUGUAUUCUGUUAAAUUCUUGAAGUAUUAUAUGAUAAUCAUUGUACUUUUUAUGAACUGAAGGCAUUUGCAGUUUGAUUAUUAGUUUCUUUUGUCCUCUUUUUUCAGUUUCCCAAGAGUUCAGUGAAGCAAGGUCACAAAACCAGGUUGACCUUGAACAUCAGAUGACACAGGCAGAAGGAGAUACUGCCAAACCUGUGGUGGCUCCUGCUAAUGAGAAAGAAGGAAGCUGAAAAGGAAGAUUCCUGAGGCAAGUG